rnacentral:rRNA from 1 species
GAUCUGGUCAGGAUGAACGCUAGCUACAGGCUUAACACAUGCAAGUCGAGGGGCGAGCAUGGUCUUAGCUUGCUAAGGCCGAUGGCGACCGGCGCACGGGUGAGUAACACGUAUCCAACCUGCCGUCUACUCUUGGACAGCCUUCUGAAAGGAAGAUUAAUACAAGAUGGCAUCAUGAGUUCGCAUGUUCACAUGAUUAAAGGUAUUCCGGUAGACGAUGGGG